UGGGGAAUCUUGGACAAUGGGCGCAAGCCUGAUCCAGCCAUGCCGCGUGGAUGAUGAAGGCCCUAGGGUUGUAAAAUCCUUUCGCCGCUGAAGAUAAUGACGGUAAGCGGAGAAGAAGCCCCGGCUAAUUUCGUGCCAGCAGCCGCGGUAAUACGAAAGGGGCUAGCGUUGUUCGGAAUUACUGGGCGUAAAGCGCGUGUAGGCGGAUCGGUUAGUUGGGGGUGAAAGCCCAGGGCUCAACCCUGGAAUUGCCUCCAAUACUGCCGAUCUUGAGUAUGGGAGAGGUGAGCGGAAUUCCGAGUGUAGAGGUGAAAUUCGUAGAUAUUCGGAGGAACACCAGAGGCGAAGGCGGCUCACUGGACCAUUACUGACGCUGAGACGCGAAAGCGUGGGGAGCAAACAGGAUUAGAUACCCCCGUAGUCC
rnacentral:rRNA from 1 species